GGAAUCUUCGGCAAUGGGGGCAACCCUGACCGAGCAACGCCGCGUGAGUGAAGAAGGUUUUCGGAUCGUAAAGCUCUGUUGUAAGAGAAGAACGUGUGUGAGAGUGGAAAGUUCACACAGUGACGGUAACUUACCAGAAAGGGACGGCUAACUACGUGCAAG
rnacentral:rRNA from 1 species